GAGGGUAUAGCUCAGUGGUAGAGUGUGUGCUUAGCAUGAAAGAGGUCCUGGGUUCAAUCCUUAGUACCUCCA
rfam:Camelus ferus unplaced genomic scaffold scaffold474, whole genome shotgun sequence.